GUGCUGGUUUCAGUAACACCUAUACUAAAAUUGCAGCGAUACAGAGAAGAUAAGCAUGGCCCCUGCGCAAGGAUGACACACAAAUUCGUGAAGCAUUCCAUAUUUUU